rnacentral:tRNA from 1 species
GGCUCGGUAGCUUAAUUGGUAAGGCACUCGUCUAGCAUACAAGAGUCGUGGGUUCAAAUCCUACCUGAACAA